AUUGAACGCUGGCGGCAUGCCUUACACAUGCAAGUCGAACGGCAGCACGGGAGCAAUCCUGGUGGCGAGUGGCGAACGGGUGAGUAAUAUAUCGGAACGUGCCCAGUCGUGGGGGAUAACGCAGCGAAAGCUGUGCUAAUACCGCAUACGAUCUAAGGAUGAAAGCGGGGGAUCGCAAGACCUUGCGCGAUUGGAGCGGCCGAUAUCAGAUUAGCUAGUUGGUGGGGUAAAGGCCCACCAAGGCGACGAUCUGUAGCUGGUCUGAGAGGACGACCAGCCACACUGGAACUGAGACACGGUCCAGACUCCUACGGGAGGCAGCAGUGGGGAAUUUUGGACAAUGGGCGCAAGCCUGAUCCAGCAAUGCCGCGUGCAGGAUGAAGACCUUCGGGUUGUAAACUGCUUUUGUACGGAACGAAACGGCCCUUUCUAAUACAGGGGGCUAAUGAUGGUACCGUAAGAAUAAGCACCGGCUAACUACGUGCCAGCCGCCGCCGUAA
rnacentral:rRNA from 1 species